AUUAGAUACCCUGGUAGUCCACGCCGUAAACGGUGGGCACUAGUUGUGGGAACCUUCCACGGUUUCUGCGACGCAGCUAACGCAUUAAGUGCCCCGCCUGGGGAGUACGAUCGCAAGAUUAAAACUCAAAGGAAUUGACGGGGCCCCGCACAAGCAGCGGAGCAUGCGGCUUAAUUCGACGCAACGCGAAGAACCUUACCAAGGCUUGACAUAUACAGGAAUAUGGCAGAAAUGUCAUAGCCGCAAGGUCUGUAUACAGGUGGUGCAUGGUUGUCGUCAGCUCGUGUCGUGAGAUGUUGGGUUAAGUCCCGCAACGAGCGCAACCCUCGUUCUGUGUUGCCAGCAUUUAGUUGGGGACUCACAGGAGACUGCCGGGGUUAACUCGGAGGAAGGUGGGGAUGACGUCAAAUCAUCAUGCCCCUUAUGUCUUGGGCUGCACGCAUGCUACAAUGGCUGGUACAAACG
rnacentral:rRNA from 1 species